rnacentral:lncRNA from 1 species
GUACCGCCUCCCAUCGCUCUUUGGAAAUAAAAAUUGUGAAGGUUAACAUGGAAUUUCCAUAUUGUAAAAGAAAAUAGCACCUUAAGGAAAACGUCAUUUUUACUGUUAGGGAGAAGCAUUGCAACUCACACAAUGGAUUAGGAGGACGAUUUUUUAACAAAUUCAAGUGUGAUGCGUACAUCUAAAUCUUUGGUGCAUUUCCACAGGUUUGCAUACCUCGCUUGUCUCAUCUGCAUUCUCAUCUGCAAGAGUAUACCUGCAGUCUUGGCAGCUGGAAUGAUACCUUGAGGGAAGAGAAAGAACUUCCUUUACUUCAGGAAAGGUUUCGAGUGAGCUGAAUGAGAAACAGUCUCACUGAAGUCACAGGGAGCUGCUUGCAUGAAUCAGGCCUGAGAAUUGAGUUCCAAUGAUGCUAUUGCUGAGGCGAAUGUACUUAAUACACAAAAGACAAGACUAUAUUGACUCUUGCAGCUGCCUUCUACUCAGAAUAGAAGUUGUUGUUCAGAGUAUUACAUUGGAUUCUUAGCCAUGAAUACAACUGUAAUACUAUAAUCCAAGAUUGUAGGUCUGAUCCUAUAUUCCUUGCACAGAUAACAUUUCAGUUCAAGCAAGUGGAAAUCUUAGAUGCAGCAGUUUUAAUAUACAUGACCUUUUCCCAUUUAUGUAAAUAAAAUAAUAAUCAGUAUUAUAUUGU